ensembl:snoRNA
CACCCCGGCAAUGGGCAAAGAGACACCUCUUUCAUGGUGUUGCUCUUAUAUCAGUCAGGGGCAGAGCAGAUGCACAGUCCUUUGUUCAUCCUAACCUGAUGCCUGUGUUGGUGGCCAGAGCUAUUUCAUGCCUAGAGCACAAAA